AACGAACGCUGGCGGCGUGCCUAACACAUGCAAGUCGAGCGGGAAAAUGGGGGCAACCCCAUGAGUACAGCGGCGCACGGGUGAGUAACACGUAGGUAACCUACCUGCGAGACUGGGAUAACCUGCCGAAAGGCGGACUAAUACCAGAUAAGACCACGGGGGCGUUUGGCCCCUCGCGGCAAAAGGUAGGCCUCUCCUUGGAAGCUACUACUCGUGGAUGGGCCUGCGCGCCAUUAGCAGUUGGC
rnacentral:rRNA from 1 species